rnacentral:tRNA from 1 species
GGGUGUAUAGCUUAACUGGAUAAAGCAUUAAACUUUUAAUUUAUAGAUCUUAGGUUCGAAUCCUAAUACACUCA